GUCAGCGGAGUGAUUCUGGGCACGCUUGAUAACAAUUAGUGUCAUGCUAAACCUACCGAGCAAUGUAUAGGGUGGAGCACCUCGUCCUAGGAUCCAAUCACCUUUAACUCAGGAAACCUAAAACAUGAAUUUUAAAAACGUGAGUAUAAACUCAGUGUGUGAACAUAGGAAGGGAACAAGCAACGUUAAGGAAGGUUUAGAAAGCAUGAUGCACUUAAGUUUAAAACAAUGCAAUUUAAUUUAUAUCUAUUUAAAAACUCCUCAUUCAAACCCUUGGUCGUUUAGUUACUUGAUGACAAAAGUCUCAUGAACAACAAGGAAGUUGAGAAGUGAAAAUUUUAGUAGAUUUCAAGCAAGUCAAGCAUAAUAGAUUGACUCUCAUCGCAGCGAAAAGGCAUUCUCGCUACAACAAAAUUCUAGCCAGAUAAAAAUCCAAAGGGCUUUCAUUGCCACUGGAAAAAUCCAUUCAUGCCACAUUGCACAUUAAAUUGAACACAUUGACAAUACUCAAGUUUUCAACAGUCAAUGCAAUCACAUUUUAAAUCCAAACAUCUCUAUAUAGUAAAUAUAUAUAUAAGCACUUACACCACCAUCACCUCACUCGGCUGAUGUGCAUCAUUACCGGCAUGUGCACUGCCCACUCUGCACAUGCACGGUUGGGCUCCACUCAUAAGGGACGACCUUCACUACAAGCAGCCCUUUCCUCCUUCAGCGGCGGCUCCACUCAUAGGGGACAACCCUCGCUACAAACAGCCCUUUCCUCAUUCAGCAGUGGCAACAAACGGUACCUAUCAGAGCACUAGUAGAGGAUAGCCCUCUCUAUAAGCCCCUGGGCGGAAAGUCACACUUCGCCACUGUUCACAUGUGAGAGUUCCCAGGGAUCGGGUUAAACCCUUUGCUUUGAUACCAACAUUGUCACUCAACCGGCAUGUGCACUGCUCACUCCGCACAUGCACGGUUACAUCAAUUAUACAAAAUUACUUAACAAUAUAUAUAUCAUAUAUCUUUAUAUACAUAUCAGCGUCAUAUAAAAGUACAUAGAUUCAUCACAAUCAUGUUCCACAUCAUAAAAUCAUUUCACUUAUGGCUUGUUCCUAUGCAUUUUGAAGAAAAGAUAAUUUAAACAGUUCAAGUGGUUCGUUCAAACGUAUAUACCUCUUCCCAAAACAUUUUUGUGCAGGUUCACUCACCGAUAUUUGUUGAAUCUUUACUCGACUCAAACCUCCACUAAUGGUCUAAAUGGAACUGUGGGGCCUCGUUGGGACCUAUCAUCACAACAACAUCACAACUAAUCCGAUUUGCAUAAUUAUAGUUCUAAAAGCUAUCCACUAAAUCAUGUUCAGCUAGUUAUUUUUAACUAGUUUCCAUCUACCAUUAAGUGACUAUAUAUUUUCACUAUUCUAGUCACACUACAAUGAAUAACCCACCUCAACAACAAAACACUCACCGAUCUAGCCACUAGCCAUUCUCAACAACUAAAAAGAAAUCAACUCAAUUUCACUACUCACCUUGGUAGCUUUACAAUUGAAUUUCUUUUCCAAAAGCUUUUAAACUAUCAUGAAAAUAUCACUUUCUCUCUCUAGAACAUCCAGCUAGUGAGAGAGUGUAAUAAGGAAAGGUUUUUGAGGGUUUUAUGGUGAAAAAAUAGAAGAGCACAAAGAACUCUGUGAAAAGGUACACAAAACAUGAAAAAUCGAGGUUAAUUCAAGGAAAUAUAUGGAAAUUCAAGGCAAGCUUCCAUGGUGGGGGGAGGGGUGAGAGAACAUGGGAGAGGAAGGAGAAGAAGAAGAAGUGUUGGAAAUUUGAAGAACAUCCUAGAAACUUAGAUUUUUAUGGCUUAAGUUUAUCCAUUUCUACCAAAAUUACCAAAAUGCCCUUAACUAUGUCAUUUUGUUUUUCCAUUUCCUUUAUACAAUCUUUUCACUUCUUUAACACUGAGACAAGGUCCAUAAGGGUCUAAAAAUGCUCGGAUUCAUGAAAACUUAAAAAUGUUAACUCGAGAUGCAAAAUGAUCGUUUUACCCUUUUUUGUUUCCUUCUAUUUUAAUUUAGUCCUCCCAACAUUUAUUUAACUCCAAUUUCCUUAUAUUACCUUCUUUUACACAUGUACAAACAAAGUAUGAAGUUUGUACUCCAACGCAGUCUCCCCAUAAUAUUUAAAAUAUUUAUUUACCCGCGCUAUCUUUACUUAAUGAAGACACUCGGCCCCAUUAACGUCAUUUUCCUCCAAAAUUCUCUCAUUCUUCUUCUUCCCCACCUAGAUUAACCAUAUACUCCUUCUUUAUGAAAAAUUUUGAUACUGAAUAAAAUAUUAAUAUUUUAAUAUUAUUUUAUUAAUAAAAAUUAUUUUAUUUCAAAAAUUUCCUCUUGUCUCCUCUUGUCUCCUUGGUACCCAAAAUACCUUAUUAGGCCUCAAUUGACUUCCGAAUCACUUUUUAUCUCACAAAUUCUUCUUUAAUAAAAAUAUCAUUAUUUUAUUAUUAUUUCCUCGUGUGCGGAAUAUUUUAUCCCAAACUAUUCCUUUCAUCUUUCAUCAUUUCUAAACAUCGUAAUUAACCUCAAUUAGCAUCCAAUAAGUUUUUAUUAGUCACCAUAUCAAAGUACGGAGUAUUAUAGUUCGGUUUAGUGAUUCCAAGGUAAGGAAGGUAGAAGCUGUCAUUUUGUUUGAAUGCAUGCCUUGUGAACUGAUUGUAAUGUGAGAUUAUACUUGUGCUAGCAAGAAUCUUCAAUAAUUCAAAAGAACAGGGUGCAUGCAUGUGGGUUGAUCUUAGAAAUACGAUGACUUUGAGCAAGACAAAUAAUGGGUAAGUGCUUUUAACAUUGAGAUCAUAAAUGGAAAGGAAAAAUAAGAUGUGUAUUGAUUAUUUGUGCUUAUGGUAGCAAUGGUGACCGAGGAUGUGAAGAGAUUGUGAGCUAUAUGUGGAAUUCAAGAUAAAAAUCGAAAGGUAAGCAAGGUGGAACUUAUGUUUAAAGGUUUAAUUUGGCAGCAAUGUGGGUACCUUAUAUUAUAUUGGACUUGGUUGGUUGAGAGUUCAAAGAUUACAUGUUAGAUUAUUGUGAAUAAUAAGGAUGAAAAAUGUGAAAUUAGAUUAAAGAUUCAUUGAUUAAGGUGCUGCUCAUAUAUAUGUACAAUUAAGUAUAAAUAUGGAAGUAGACAUAAUAGAGAGGUAGAUUUGUGAAACCCUGACCUUCAUAGAUGCGUAACUCAAGGUGGAACUUAUGUUUAAAGGUUUAAUUUGAGCUAAUGAUGCUAGUUUUACGUUACUUAUAAUUAUUUUAUGUCGUUAUAGGAGUAGGAUCAAAAAUAAUUUUAAUUGGUGAAGAAAGGUGCAUAAUGAAUAGUAGCCCUAUUUACAUAUGUUUUGGGUUUUCAUGUAUAUCUCCCACUAAAAAGGUCCAAAUGAUAUAAUAUUUGAACCAUUUGAAAGCUAAGAGGCAGGGCUACAACUUUGAUGUUUACCACUUUUCCAUGUUCUAGCAGGAAGGUGGUUAAAAUCUUUAUCAAAAUGAGAGGACUGUGCUAGAAGAACAAAAAUUGGCAUAAUGUUUGAGCACCAUGACGCUGGAAAUUGAGAGUCGCGACCCUCACGUAAAUUUCACAAAUAACAAGAUUUUAGUGUUUUUGAAGCUAGGACUUUUGGGGGUUACUUAAGGGACUUCUUUCAGAGGAUUUUGGACCUUUUCCUAGUGUUAAAAGAGUAAAAGAUUGCACAAGAACAAAAGGAAGACAAGUGGCAUUGCUAAAGGCAUUAUUGUAAUUUCAUGAACAAUUGGAUAAGUUUUAACUAUAAAUAUCUUCAUUCUCCAGCACCUUCCUCAGAUUUCUAGCAUUUCAUCUUCUUCUUCUUUCUCCCAUCCCAUAUUUCUUCACCUUCCAUGGGAGCACUCUUCAAUCUUCCAUAACCCUCCCAAGUUAGCCUUCAUUUUCAUGCUUUUGUGCAUUUUUUUAUAGAACCUCUUAUGCUCUUUCACUCUUUCACCUUAAAACCCUUGAAAUGUCUUAGAUCAAUACUUUCUCUCACUAAUUAGGGUUUUAGAGAGAGAAAGAAAGACCUUCUAUAAUAGUUUGGGAAUUCUUGAGGAGAUAUUCAAUUACAAAUCUAUCAAGGUGAGAAUUUAAAUUGAGUUGAUAUUUUAGUUGUUGAGAAUGAUUAAUAGUUAGAUUUAUGAGUGUUUUGUAGUUGAGGUAGUUUAUUCAUUUUGGUGUGAUUAUAAUAGUGUAAAUAAUUAGCCACUUGAUGGUAGUUGGAAGCUAGUUAGGAAUAACUAAUGGAACAUGAUUUAGGAGAUAGCUUUCCGAAUUAUGGUUAUGUGAUUGAGUUAAUUAUGAUGUUAAUGUGUGAUAGGUUCCACCGAAACCCCAUAUCACCAUUCAGGGCAUUAGUGGAAUUUGGAGCAACUAUAAGAAUCAACAAAGACAGGUGAGUGGACCUGCAUUUCAAAAUUUGUUUUGAGAAUGUGAAGGUAAUUAUACAAACAUUUAAAAGAUUUUAUCCAGCUUUUCUUUAAAAAUGUACCUUGGGAACAAGCCUUUGGUGAAGUGUUUUUAUCUUUUGAAAAUGUGCUAUAUAAAUGGUUUAUGUGUUAUCACAAUAUGAUGAUAUGUAUAAUAUGCAUUGGGUGUUUCUUUCGUAUGUUGAUGUGGACUCGGCUAUGUGCGAGUAGGAGUGCGCAUACGUCGAUGAUGACUCAGCUAUGUGCGAGUAGGAGUGCGUAUAAGUCGAUGCUGACCCAACCAUGUGCUAGUGGGGAGUGCACAUGAGCUGAUGACGAUGGGAGAGUGCGCAUGGUGAUGGAUAUAUAUAUAUACAUAUAUGUUUGCACAUGUGUGACUAUAAUGUAUGUGGAAUCCUACUUGCUAAACCUUGAGCAUUUUUUUUUAGUGUUCCAAAUUGAUUUGCAUUGUAGUGAAAUGGUUUAUUUGGGAUGAAAGGAAGUCUUUCUUGUUGCUUUGUUUCUCGCUGCAGCAAGAAUGAAACUUUCUCUGCCACUUAUCACUUGGUUGGUUUUUGCCAUAUUUUCCACUUCUCGAAUUUCAUGUUGAAUAUGAAUUCUCUAUCAUCACAUGAUUUAUCAACCAAGGGUUCAAUUAAGGGUUUUAAUAAGGACUUAAGCUAAAGUGCAUCAUUUUCAAAUAAGUACAUUAUGAUUUCAAACUUUUCCUUAUUAUAUUGCUUGUUCCCUUCCUUCUUCACUCACUGGGUUUAUACUCACCAUUUUCAACUUCAUGUUUUCAGAUCAAGAGGCAGUUGGUAACUAGGUCGAGGUGUCUUCGUAUAUUCGACCCUUGGUAGGUGUCUCGGCAUUCAAUAGCUGUACAUUUCUUUAAGUCUCCCCACUGAAAAUCAAGUACUCUUUUUUAUUGUGUAUAGACAGACCCAAUGUAAAUUAUUAAGACGUAUGUUUAGAUAAUACAUGUAUCUUUGAUUAGUAAUGCCACUACGAGUUGGCAAUGUUUAGUAUUAUAUUAAUUCGGAGUUAUGAAAUGUGAUUUAGCAACUUUGAUGGAACGAUGAACAGGUCAUAUGAAUAGGCUUGCUUGGGCUUAGAGGGCUGUGUCCUUUGAGCCAUUGCGCCGGUCAUGGCCAGGAUUUGGGUCGUGACAAGAUUAUUAUGAGGGAUUCUUGAAAAUAAAGAGAACUAAGAACAUGGAAUAUAGACGUCACAACCCAAUUUCCAGGCCAUGAUGGUGCAAGGGCCCAAUGGGCUCAGCCCAUUAAGCCUAAGCAAGCCUACUUAAUUGAUCUUAUACAUUAAUCCAUAUUCCUUUAGAAUCCAAAGCUUGAAAUGUUCAAAUACCGUUUCUUUGAAAAUGAUUCAUAAAACCCAAUCAUACAUUCAUAAUGGCAUCAUCCACCAAUAUAUUCAUUAAUAGAUUAACAAGGAUUCUUAAUGUUCACAUUAAGUAUUCACAUACACAUAAUUAGACCUUGACCGUUAGCGGAGUGACUUUAGGCACGAUUGAUAACACUUAGUGUCACAUUAAACCUACCGAGCAAUGUAUAGGGAGGAGCACCUUAUCCUAAGAUCCAAUCACCUUUAACCCAGGAAACCUGAAACAUGAAUUUUAAAAACGUGAGUAUAAACUCAGUGAGUGAACAUAGGAAGGGAACAAGCAUCAAUAUGGGAGGUUUUAGAAAUCAUGAUGCAUUUAUGUUGAAGACAAUGCAAUUUAACUCAAUUUCUUGUCACAACGGAAAUCUGUCUUUGCUGCGGUGAAAAUCAAAUGGGAACCGUUUUUCAAGUUUUAACAUUCAAAAAUCAAUGCAACCACAAUAUAAUUUCCAAAACCUCUAUAUAUAUAUCAUAUAUAAACAUAUAUAUAACCACCAGCCUCACCCCUAACUCUAUCUCAGCUUAUUUGCACUACCACACCACACAUAGCCAGGUCAGCACAGUUCAUGUGCCCUCUUACACCGCACAUGGCUGGGUCAACACAGCUUAUGUGCACUCCUACACCGCACAUGGCUACGUCAUAAUUAUCACACAAAAAUAUCAUUUAAUGUAUAAUAUACACAUCAACAUAAUGUAUAAACUCAUGAAUUCAUCAUGUUCAUAUCUCAUAAUAUCAAAGCAUUCCAUCAAGGGCUUGUUCCCAUGCAACUUUUAAAGAAAAACCUACAAAAUAUUUCAAGUGGCUCAAUCAAGCAUAAAAUCAUUUAUUCCUAAACAUUUUAAUGCAAGUUCACUCACCUGGCAACAACGAGAUAUUAAGUUACUAUUUGUUCGGAGGUGUCUCUAACUAUUUUGACUGGCCGAUCGCUCGUUAUUUACCCGACAUGCCCCCACAAUACUCUAACUUUAUCUUUGCACUUCCUAGCAAUAAUACGAACUCAAUAUAUUUAAUUACAUAUGAUACGAGCAACACUUCAAUCAAUUAAUCCUUACUCAUAUUUAUAUUUUCCCUCAUAUCAUGAAACCAUCUUUAAUUAACUCACAUCUUAAUACAUUUUUACUAAAAUUACUUAUAUCCAUUGCUCAUGUAAUUCCUUAAAUUAUAUCACCGGCAACUUAAUUUUGAUGUCACGUGUCGACUUCAGCCUUUCUAAAUAAUUUCCACCCAAAUCCAUCUUAUAUUUCCACACAUAAUCCACAUAUAUGGCAGCAACAAUCAUUCUCACUUUAACUCGAUUAUUUCCUAGUUUACACGCAUCGUUAUCUAUCUAACUUUCAAUACUUUGUUUCUCAAUCCUCCAUCCACAAUAUUCCUUUUUCAUUUCUUUCAAAUGACAUGCCAUACAAUCUUAACAAUUUUCAACUAGCUUAUGUAAGUAGAUCCUUUCAACAACCAUAAUUUCCCACAAUAUUCAACUAACCGUAGGCUUUAAAACAUAGUGUUAAGCUUACCAUUUUCCUUUUCCACUUUGAGUCCUUCAUGUACCCAUGGGUUUAUUGGCUUACAUGUUAUCAAUUUUUCUCCAAUCAAGCCAAUCUUUGCUGCCACAAGAGAUUUCUCUAAGUCACAAACUCAUUUUCAAAGACUACUCAAGCCAAAAACAAGAAUUCUUACCGUUCCUUGCUUGGAUCACCAAAACCAAGCUUUUUUUUCUUCUUUUCUCUCUUUUUCUUUCUUCUUCUCCUAGAGUUUAUAUGUGCUGGAAAUUGGGGUUAGAAGUUGUAACUUUGGUGCACAAGAAGUUGGGAGAAGAAUGAAGCAAGAAGAGAAAAGAAAUGAAAAGAAAAUAAGGAAAGAAAAUGAAAGAAAAUUAGUUUUCCAUGGGAGAAUGAGAGAAUGGCACUGGAAGCUUCAACAAUGAAGAAGCAAAAAUAUCUUGCUGGGAGGAUAAGGACUGUUUUG
rnacentral:lncRNA from 1 species